GACAGAGGUGCCGAGCGUUAGGCGGAAUCACUGGGCUUAAAGCGUGUGUAGGCGGAUGGGUAAGUACCUUGUGAAAUCCCACGGCUCAACCGUGGAACUGCUCGGUAUACUGCUCGUCUUGAGCCAACUAGGGGCGACCGGAACAAACGGUGGAGCGGUGAAAUGCGUAGAUAUCGUUUGGAACGCCAAUGGUGAAAACAGGUCGCUGGGAGUGUGCUGACGCUGAGACACGAAAGCCAGGGGAGCGAACGGG
rnacentral:rRNA from 1 species